rnacentral:tRNA from 1 species
GGUUUAGUGGUCUAGUGGUUAUGAUUUCUGUCUUACACACAGAAGGUCCCCGGUUCGAUCCCGGGCUGAACCA